rnacentral:RNase_P_RNA from 1 species
GCUGUGAGGUGUCCUGUCGCAUGGUGAGCAAUAUGCCCACCAUGAGGAAAAUCCGGACAACGUAGAGCACCACACCAUCUAACGGAUGGGUCUCAUCUAGGUGAGAACAGAUAGUGUCACAGAAACGAAACCGCCAUGCCAGUUUUGCUGUCAGGGUAAGGGUGAAAACGUGCGGUAAGAGCGCACGCAUCAGUCUGGCAACAGAUUGAUGGGAUAAACCUUGUGGGUUGAAAUGCCACGUAUAUUUCGAGCUACGAUAAGUAGGUUGGGUUGCUCGCCCAAUUGUUUAUUGACAAUCGGAAGGGGUGGGCAGAUUGAUCUUGGCUGUGAAGCCAAGACUAGAUAAAUGACAGGAACUUACGCGAGAUGUAGGUGACAGAAUCCGGUUUAUAACCUCACAGUCUUU